rnacentral:misc_RNA from 1 species
UGAAGCUAGUACCAAAGAUAAAUUAACAGGCAGCAAAUCAAAUAUUCAUAACAAAAGACCAAAUAGAGCAGCAAAGCAAAUAGUUUGAUCAAAACCACUGACCUAACAACACAAAAGUUCGAUAAACAAAAACAAGCAUUACCAACUAGACUCUUGCAGUUCUUAAGAAACUCGGACAUAAAUAGAAGAACACCUCACUUCUUCUUGAUAGCAGCCUUGGUCACCUUGGCACCAGUGGGGUCCUUCUUCUCAACACUCUUAAUAACCCCAACAGCAACAGUCUGGCGCAUG